rnacentral:rRNA from 1 species
AUACGUAGGGGGCGAGCGUUGUCCGGAAUGAUUGGGCGUAAAGGGCGCGUAGGCGGCCCGGUAAGUCUGGAGUGAAAGUCCUGUUUUUAAGAUGGGAAUUGCUUUGGAUACUGUCGGGCUUGAGUGCAGGAGAGGUAAGUGGAAUUCCCAGUGUAGCGGUGAAAUGCGUAGAGAUUAGGAGGAACACCAGUGGCGAAGGCGACUUACUGGACUGUAACUGACGCUGAGGCGCGAAAGUGUGGGGAGCAAACAGGAUUAGAUACCCUGGUAGUCCACACUGUAAACGAUGAAUGCUAGGUGUAGGGGGUAUCGACCCCUUCUGUGCCGCAGUCAACACAAUAAGCAUUCCACCUGGGGAGUACGGCCGCAAGGUUGAAACUCAAAUGAAUUGACGGGG